GGUGACAAAUGCACAUUGCUGUUUUUAAAAUAAUGUGACAAAAUUAAAAUGCUUCACUUUUUCCCAAUUUGUGCCCAUAUUAACAACAAAAGCUUCCAGUAAAUUGCAUAAAUUUCUGCGUGAUAAUUACAUUUUUUUUUUUGAAACAUAAAAUAUAAUGGGGAGUCUGCAGGACAAGUUUUUUUUUUAAGUCACUCACCAGGGGAAUGCUGCAUAAUAAAUAUUUAAAUUGAAUUAUUCUUUACCUGUUUCUUUUCAAACUUGCUUUUUAGAUAAAAUGUUAUGGGUUCUCUUCUCCACCUUUUUACCAUUUACAGGUAAUAGGGCGCAUCAUGAAGCAAAUCAAACAGACAGGGUCUUAAGGAAACCCCAAUGUGGACUCUAAUAACCCAAAGACCUGACACAGUGGCCUUGCUCUUUCCUCAAGAUGCAGCAGGAAGUAUCAGCGGUGAGGUUUAUUUUUCUGCUCUUCAGAAUCACAUUCAUUGUCAUUGCACAGUAAAACAGCACAACAAAAUUUGCUUGUGCAUCCUCAAAAACAAUGCUCGCCCUCACACAUAACUUACCCACACACUACAGAGGAAACAUCUUGAAGUGUUGCAUCUGUAGUAAAUAUUAUGGUUCAUACAUGGACAGCAUCUAUUACUGUCUGUGUAAAAGAGAAAAACACUCGUGCUAUUUUUUUUCUUUUUUUAAUCCAGGUGCUUCUUCAGCGUAUAACAUGGCCUCGUGAGGAAGACAGCGAUGAUGACGACUGUUCCGUGGAAACCAGAUGCCGCAUGUUAAGCUAUCUACAUCAGUUCAUAGCUAAUGCAACACCAGCUGAACUGACCAGCCUCCUCAAAUUCUGGACUGGAUGGGAGGUUCUCCUUCAAAGUCUCUCAGUGGAAAUCAUCAAUGACCACUAUCCCACAGCUUCCACCUGCUUUGAGACCAUUCGCAUCUCAGGGCAUUACAAGGAUUACACAUCCUUUAAAAAUGACAUCCGGUCCUGUAUCGGCACUGGCCACACAGGAUUUGCUCUUGUGUGACAUCUGGGUCUGUGUUUACACUCAGUUCAGUCAAAUGUUGACAUGUUAAACUGUUCAAGUUAUAAAAAGAUGGGUUUACACUUGUUUUAUUUUCAGUGUUAGACAGUUGAAGGUUCUUAAUGUACAUGGUGGUUUUGCAGUUUAAUCUGGUCCUUUAAAACAAAAUAAAUCUCUGCACUCAAAGUGUGUUUACAAUGGACUCUGAGUGUGUUUACAAUGGACUCAGAGUACUGAAUUGAAU